GUCCAGGUGGUGCAGUGGUCAGCACAUCUGCCUAGUAAGCAGGAGACUUGGGUUCGAACCCCAGUCCGGCACG